rnacentral:rRNA from 1 species
UACGGGGGGGGCAAGCGUUGUUCGGAAUUACUGGGCGUAAAGGGCUCGUAGGUGGCCAACUAAGUCAGACGUGAAAUCCCUCGGCUUAACCGGGGAACUGCGUCUGAUACUGGAUGGCUUGAGUAUGGGAGAGGAAUGCGGAAUUCCAGGUGUAGCGGUGAAAUGCGUAGAUAUCUGGAGGAACACCGGUGGCGAAGGCGGCAUUCUGGACCAUUACUGACGCUGAGGAGCGAAAGCCAGGGGAGCAAACGGG